UUAACUAUUAUAUAGUACUCAGACAUCACUAAACAAACGAGUUGGGGUCCUCUGGCGGGCGCAGCUAGCCGGAGCCAGCACGCGGACGUGGCCCGCCAAAGCAACAGAGGUAUGUAUGUAUUCAAAGGGUGGGAGAUCUACCCGGGAGGGCACGAACUCUGUAAUGAUCCUUCCGCAGGUUCACCUACGGAAA
rnacentral:misc_RNA from 1 species